rnacentral:antisense_RNA from 1 species
UGGCGCUUAAGGCUUUUUUGCCUUACGCGACUGGCAGAAAUGCUGGAUGUUGUGAGGCAGAAAGAAGAAAGCCCCGUAGGAUGUUAAUUUUCAUUAACCAACCACACGAGGCCAUCUGCUUGACUCGACACCAACAGAAUAGCCUCUUAGCUGCCGCAAGGCAAGGAGAGAAGGCCAUG